CAACUUGAAUUUGCUUAAUUGCACCACAUGUGUUUUUCUUUGAAACAAACUUGCUUUGGCGGUGGGCCCAGCCUGCCGCCAGAGGUCUAAACUUACAACCAAUUUUUUAUCAACUUGUCACACCAGAUUAUUACUAAUAGUCAAAACUUUCAACAACGGAUCUCUUGGUUCUCGCAUCGAUGAAGAACGCAGCGAAAUGCGAUACGUAAUAUGAAUUGCAGAUAUUCGUGAAUCAUCGAAUCUUUGAACGCACAUUGCGCCCUCUGGUAUUCCGGAGGGCAUGCCUGUUUGAGCGUCGUUUCUCCCUCAAACCGCUGGGUUUGGUGUUGAGCAAUACGACUUGGGUUUGCUUGAAAGACGGUAGUGGUAAGGCGGGAUCGCUUUGACAAUGGCUUAGGUCUAACCAAAAACAUUGCUUGCGGCGGUAACGUCCACCACGUAUAUCUUCAAACUUUGACCUCAAAUCAGGUAGGACUACCCGCUGAACUUAAGCAUAUCAAUAAGCGGAGGAA
rnacentral:rRNA from 1 species